UCCACGGUGGUCCAGUGGUUAAGACUCUGCGUUUCCAAUGCAGGGCUCACAGGUUCGAUCCCUGUUUCAGGGA
rnacentral:tRNA from 1 species